CGAGCACGCGCGUGUGGCAUAUCAAUAAGCGGAGGAAAAGAAACUAACAAGGAUUCCCUUAGUAACGGCGAGUGAAGCGGGAAGAGCUCAAAUUUGAAAUCUUCAAGGUUCUACCUUGACGAAUUGUAGUUUAUAGAAGUGUUUUCUGUUAGUAGAGUGGCAAAAGUUCUUUGGAAUAGGACAUCAUAGAGGGUGAGAAUCCCGUAUUUGGUCAUUCUUUCUAGCUUUGUGAUACACUUUCAACGAGUCGGAUUGUUUGGGAAUGCAGUCCAAAAUGGGUGGUAAAUUUCAUCUAAAGCUAAAUAUUGGCGAGAGACCGAUAGCGAACAAGUACCGUGAGGGAAAGAUGAAAAGAACUUUGAAAAGAGAGUUAAACAGUACGUGAAAUUGUCAAAAGGGAAGCGUUUGACACCAGUGUUGUUUUUCCGAAAAUCAAUUAAGAAUGUUUUAGUUUUUGAGGAGUUAUGACUUCAUCGGCUUGCUCCUUUCUUUAUGAACUUUCUUAAUGCACUUUUCGGUUAACAAGUCAACAUCAAUUUCUUUUGUUGUAAAAGAGUAUGAGGAAGGUGGCUUUCUUUUCGGAGAAAGUGUUUAUAGCCUUAGUACCUUCUGCAAUCGGAGAGAUUGAGGAUCUGCAGCUGUAGACUCUUCGGGGUUAGAUACAUUUGUGCUAAGUUAUAGCUCUUGUAUAGACAACAUUGUUGACUAUGCUCAGUCAUGUAGCUUACUCGCUUAUGCUAUUUUACCUACGCUUAGGAUGUUGAUGUGAUACUGCGAGCA
rnacentral:rRNA from 1 species